rnacentral:lncRNA from 1 species
GUCAUCGCCCGGGGUGACAAAGAUUUCCCCCCGGCGGCUGCGCAGGUGGCUCACCAGAAGCCGCAUGCCUCCAUGGACAAGCAUCCUUCCCCAAGAACCCAGCACAUCCAGCAGCCACGCAAGUGAGCCUGGAGUCCACCAGCCUGCCCCAUGGCCCCGGCUCUGCUGCACUUGGUAUUUCCCUGACAGAGAGAACCAGCAGUUUCGCCCAAAUCCUACUCUGCUGGGAAAUCUAAGGCAAAACCAAGUGCUCUGUCCUUUGCCUUACAUUUCCAUAUUUAAAACUAGAAACAGCUCCAGCCCAAACCUUGUUUAUGGGGAGUCUGGUUGGAUGUCAUUUGAGGAUCAUUGUGCCCCUAGAGGUGCCAUUAGCAGAAUUUGCCAAGAUCCGAGAAAAAUUUUAGCUUUAGUUCUAUUUCAGCAGUCACCUGACGUCCUUGUCUAUGGUCUUAAAAACAAGAAGGCACACAUUUGAGAAGAUGAGAUUAAGGUUAGGAGAAAACCUCAGUCAUUGCAUGCUUUUUAGUAUGGGCCAAUAAAAUCUCAACACCUGUGGGAGAGUAAGAACUAAGGGAAUGAGUUUGGGCGGCCCCUCAUAAAGGACCUUAGAGGCAGGGAACAGCAAUGCCAAAUUUCCCUCUCUCGUGAGAUGGGGGAUCCUGUGCAGGCUGAUGAGGCACCCAUGAGAAAAGCCGAAAAAGCAUGCAUCUUAGAAAUAGCCCCUCAAUUCCAGGAGUCAACAUGCCAAAGAAUGAGGCUGGAGACAGGUAGCUCCGAGGGAGGACUUCUGGCAUGAGAUCUCGGCACGGCAAGCCCAGCAUCGCCUCAGCCCAGACAGGCUCCACCAGGAGAUCAAGCAAGGGCUGCCUUUCAGGAGUCACCUCCUGAGCCACUUCAGAGUUCUGGAAGUGACCACGGACCAGGGUGGAGGAAUAGACUUCUAGUUCAUUCUGGGACACUUGAGCCAGAGAGUUGAAAGCUUGGAAAGACCAGAUAAGAAACCUGCCCUUUGUCUCCCUAGGGACAUGAGACACCACAUUCCAUUUGUGCUAGAAAAACCUAUCCACUGAUGAGUCUAACUGUUCCAAACGCCUCCCACCUGGUGUGCACAGCUGCCUGGGUCCAUUGUCACUUGGGUGCAUCAGGUUGUCCUCCGAUUUUUAGAUGAGUUUCCUGUCUAGAGAUGUCCUAGUCUGCUCACUGGCUGGUGGCAGUAGGGUACCCUGCGUCCUCGAAAAGCCAGAGGGUUCACCUAGUCAGACGAAACUCCAGAACAGUGCUUGUGGAGGGCCUGACUGUCCUGCUCACCCACAGCCGAUCUGCUGCAGGUCAGCAACUGUGUCGUGAGCAGCUGCCAACCACCAGCCUUUCUGGUGCUGUUCUCCAGUUCACGUCUGCCAGCUGGUGAGGGCAGAGGCAGACCUGGUCAGACCCAGCGCCCCUCCUCCCUGAGGGAGCAUGGCACAGCCUCACACUUGAAAGACGGUGUUUGGUUUCCCAUCUAAUCAACUUAAGGGAAGCCGGCAUGUACCCUUCAAGGCCCUGUCACCACCUAUUUCCUGAUCAGUUGGUAUAAACUGAGGGUGGCUUUUAGAGACCCAGACUUGGUUGGCAGCGCUGCCAUGGAACACCCCAGCAAGCACCUCCCAGCCUGCCUUUCGGAGCAGCACCCAGGAGGGGAUGCCGCGCUCCAGCAACACCAGGUCAGGCCUGUGCAGACCCCUGCCCUGCCGCUGCAGAAAUCCAGAAGCAUCCUUAAUGCUUCUCAGUCUUCAGCCAGAGGGAGGGCUGUUAUUUCCAGAGGUGCGCUUUUUAUGUACUUUUAGCUAGAUGUGGCAUGCAUCUGUGAGCUUUAGAUCAUUAAAUCCAAAAUGUUUGCCUAAAUGAGUUUAUCAGUUGUUAACUUCAAGAAUAUUAAAU